UUAUUUGAGUCAGAUUUCUAUCUCGCAUCUUUUUCACUUGUAGUAUAAAAUAAAUGUUUGACAAUAUAUAUACAUACUGCGUUUCUUGCAUAUUCGACACGGUAUUGUCUUCCAUGUUCAGCCAUCAGUUGUUCCAUUUCUUCAUAAACAUCUAAG